rnacentral:lncRNA from 1 species
AUGGAACGGGUUGCUCCGAUCUAAACGGGCUGUUCUGUGUUGUUCUGAAAUAAGCCGUUAAAAAUUAUUCCUAGAAAAACUGAGAAUAAUUCUGUUCUUCUCUUUAAUAAUUCUGUUCUUCUCUUUAUUUUAUUAGAUAAAUAGAUAUAUAAAUAAUAUAUUAAAAUAAAUAUUAUUUUUUUGAUAAUAUAUUUAUACUUUAAUUUUAUUAUAUAAUAUAAAUUAAUUAAAAUUGAUAUAUCAUUUAUUUUAUUAAGUUAUAUCAUUUAUAAUUUAAUAUUUAAUUAUUUUAUUUUAUUUUAAGUUUUAUGUAUUAAAAAUUAUUUUUUCAUGUAUUACAUAUAUUUUUUAAUUUGUAUUGAAAUUUAUACUAUUAUUAAUUAAAAUUAUAAGGAUAUUGUUAGUUAUACUUUAUUCAUUGCAUAUAUUAUAAAUUAUAUAAAAUAAUUUAUUACAUAAAAUAAAUUAUUAUAUUUAAUAAAAUAGAUAUACUAUUUUAAAUUAAAUUAUUAUAUGUAAUAUUAUAUUAUAAAUUACAAUAAAAAUAAUUUUAUAAAUAUUUUUAUAAAAAAAUAUACUAAUAUAAAUGAAUUAUUUUAUUUUUAAAGAUAUAUUUAGAUAUUGUUUUAGACUUUUUAUCCAAACGUUACUAAGGAUAUUCUCUAAAAUAUCUCAGAAUGCAUCAAAACACAAAUUUACAAUUGUUCUAUCUUGUAUCGAAAUAUUUCCUGCUAUCGGGAACAACAAAAGUGUUCUUCAAAAUUUAGUUCUUCAACAAAACACAGCUUUAUUCAUUUAUAUGAGUUGAGCUGAAUACUCCUAAAAGCACCAGUCUGUUGGUGCUUUUAGGUUUCUAGCUCUUAGGUCCACCGCUUGAUUAUUAUUAACUUUUAGAUCAAAUACUACACCUACCACCUCUC